rnacentral:rRNA from 1 species
GAUGAACGCUGGCGGCGUGCCUAAUACAUGCAAGUCGAGCGAAUGGAUUAAGAGCUCGCUCUUAUGAAGUUAGCGGCGGACGGGUGAGUAACACGUGGGUAACCUGCCCAUAAGACCGGGAUAACUCCGGGAAACCGGGGCUAAUACCGGAUAACAUUUUGAACCGCAUGGUUCGAAAUUGAAAGGCGGCUUCGGCUGUCACUUAUGGGUGGACCCGCGUCGCAUUAGCUAGUUGGUGAGGUAACGGCACACCAAGGCAACGAUGCAUAGCCGACCUGAGAGGGUGAUCGGCCACACUGGGACUGAGACACGGCCCAGACUCCUACGGGAGGCAGCAGUAGGGAAUCUUCCGCAAUGGACGAAAGUCUGACGGAGCAACGCCGCGUGAGUGAUGAAGGCUUUCGGGUCGUAAAACUCUGUUGUUAGGGAAGAACAAGUGCUAGUUGAAUAAGCUGGCACCUUGACGGUACCUAACCAGAAAGCCACGGCUAACUACGUGCCAGCCGCCGCGGUAA